rnacentral:rRNA from 1 species
AUACGUAGGUGGCAAGCGUUGUCCGGAAUUACUGGGCGUAAAGGGUGCGCAGGCGGACAUUUAAGUGAGAUGUGAAAGACCCGGGCUUAACUUGGGCAGUGCAUUUCAAACUGGAUGUCUGGAGUGCAGGAGAGGAGAACGGAAUUCCUAGUGUAGCGGUGAAAUGCGUAGAGAUUAGGAAGAACACCAGUGGCGAAGGCGGUUCUCUGGACUGUAACUGACGCUGAGGCACGAAAGCGUGGGUAGCAAACAGGAUUAGAUACCCUGGUAGUCCACGCCGUAAACGAUGAGUACUAGGUGUAGGAGGUAUCGACCCCUUCUGUGCCGCAGUAAACACAAUAAGUACUCCGCCUGGGAAGUACGAUCGCAAGAUUAAA